GGGGUGACUGCGUACCUUUUGUAUAAUGGGUCAGCGACUUAUAUUCUGUAGCAAGGUUAACCGCAUAGGGGAGCCGAAGGGAAACCGAGUCUUAAUUGGGCGCUAAGUUGCAGGGUAUAGACCCGAAACCCGGUGAUCUAGCCAUGGGCAGGUUGAAGGUUGGGUAACACUAACUGGAGGACCGAACCGACUAAUGUUGAAAAAUUAGCGGAUGACCUGUGGCU
rnacentral:rRNA from 1 species